AUUAGCAUUCUGACUUUAACAUUGUUUUCAAUAAUAAGGUCAAGCUUUGUUCGACAGUCCAUACGACUCAUCUGCGCUCACACAAAGGAAAGAUCCAUGCUAUAAACAACGCAUUCGAAAAUAUGUAACGACCGGUUCGAAUCGCCACUUGGCACUGUGACGUAUGCACGGUGACGUAGGCCGUCGGUGGCCAAUCACCUCCCUGAAAUCAUCGGCAAUUAGCUUGGAGGGAGGCUCGUCUCCGAGACGAUAAAGGACCGCCGCUGCGCCGCGGAACCGAUUUCGCUUGCAGAUCACCGCUUAAACCGCUUUUCGUACACGACCGCUGUUACACCGCCUUUACCGCAAAUUCGUGCUCGCUUGCUUGCGUCGCGUUGCCGUAUAGCUUCAGUACGCGCUCUCGGUUCGUUGCUUGUGCUAAAAAUACAAGGAACUCUGUACACCUUUGUAAAUACCUGUAUAUAUUUCAUUUUGCAAUUAUAGACAUUAUUUUUUGUGUUACUCGCUGCGUCGUUUUUUGUGGUCGUCUUUCACCUCGCGCUAUCUCGCGCUACCGCGCGCUCUCGAACAGGAUUGUAAUAAAAUGAUACCAAUUUAAUUAAUUAAAUUAAAUCGGCUUCUACGAACAUGAAAGAAGUAACAACACGGUGAGUGAGUAAGAUCGUGGAAAUGGAAAUUCUAAUUACGAAAACGAUCGUGUCAGCUGGAGACCGUAACGAAGCUGGCCCACCUCAACAAUGAAAGGUCAGCACACGCAGCGAGAGCUUAUCCCGGUGUAUAUGCAAAAAUCAGGGAGUGAAGGAUGUUUCAACCCUUUAACUGAUCGUACAGAGGCAUGACCUUCAAAGAGGCUGCGAAGAGAAAAACAUGGUUCAAGACGAGUAAAGACUAGAGAGAAAGAAAAGGAGAAGAAGUCGGGGGUGCCUACCUGACAGGCGUAACGGCGUGGAGGCGCCGGAGCGGCAGAGGAUGAGAUUGAGCACGACGGGAUGGAGAGAAAAGGCGGAGGAGCGGUGAGACGGUCUUUGGACUGACAAACAAAAAACUAUUAUAAAAAAAAAUUUGCACAAUACUUUAAAAAGAAUAAGGAUGGGAGAAAAUAGCCGACCGAAGACGAAGUUCAAGCAGUAUAAAUUGACGAAUAUCACCCAGUUUUCCAAAGACAUAACCCCGCAACAAUAAUAACAUAAAUGGGCAACGAAGAGAAACUAUUAGCGCAGCGACAGUCUUUCUUAAUUCCACGCGAGAAAAGAAAAAACAUAGGAAAACCUGUGUUUAGUGUAAUACCCGUCUGUCCGAAGAGAAUUGCACGCUGCAUCGUCACGCCAUCGCAACUUCACUCUUAGCUCCAAGACAAAUGUCAAUUAUUCAUUCGACACGCUCGGUCGCCAAGACUUCUGUCGGCAAAAGUUCGCCGGCAAAUUCGCGGAGAACACUGUCCGCCACGAGAAUAAUUAAUUAUUUCGCAAGUAAUAGCAGAGCACGCGCUAUUUCGUGUCCACGCUCGAGACGCGCAGGCGCAAAUCCCAUAGGCUCCUCGCAAAUUCUAUAGGCGAUACCCACCAAGGCUCACGGGGUCCGAUGACUCGCGAUUUCCGAGCGGCAAACAGGCAUAAUUUCACUGCGAUUCGAUCACCAUCGAGAUUCGAGUCCUUGUAUCUAUUGUAUUCGUCUGUUCGUCACUCGACGAUUCCCGGUUAAAAUGGCAUCGGACGAUUCGUUCGCGAGUGUCAUCCGCGUGAAUAUCGCGCUUCUGAGACUCUCCGGCGUGGUGUCCUACGAGAACGGGAGUAUCCGCCGAUCGAGCUCGCAGAAUAUCCUCGGCGCGAUCGCAUACGGUUGUCUGUUCGCAUAUGCGGGCUUGUACACGUAUGAAUUCGCGUUGCGUACCGUCUACCUCGAAACCUGGAUGGAAUCAUUCGCGAUGAUACUCUCCCUCGUGGGCGGGCAGGCGCGAUUCACGAUUGUCCUCUUAUUUCGGAGUAGAUUUCAGCGAUUGCUGAUAAUCUGCGAGGAACUCUGGGCAGCGUUGAACGCGACCGAGAAAAAACACGUCUGCGAUUACGUGAAAACGACGAGACAUUUGACUUACUACUAUCUAUUCGGAUGCGCGUUCACGAUAUUCUUUUACGCCGUGGCGAGUCUCUUCAUGGGACAGCACGACGACUCGUCGAACGCGACGAUGAGAACCCUACCGUACGCUUGUCCGGUGGAAGUCCAUCGGUCGCCUUAUUACGAAAUAAUGUAUAUCGUGCAAUUGUGCAGCAUGAUAAACGUCGGUCUCACCUGCGCCGGUGCGGACACGGUCGGACCGGUGCUCGUCUUGACCGUUUGCGGCCACUUCAAGGUUCUUAACACGCGAAUUUUACAUCUAAGCGAUCGCGACCGCGUAUAUUCAGAAAAAUCGUGUUCAACUGCCACUCAUGAGUCGCACAAAAUAACGCGUGAGAACGACAUACCAAAAAAUCGUGCGAAAUUUAAUCUCAAAGCCUGCGUGUGCUAUCAUCAGACGAUGCUCGAACUUUGCAAAGAAGUCGAGAAUCUAACCAACAGCAUCUUUUUGACGCAACUGGUCGGCAGUACAUACAACGUCUCUCUCGUGGGAUUUAAACUAGCGGGGGAUGAUCCUGAUAAAUUUAAAUAUACAACACAACUGUUAAUUGCAAUAAUUCAACUGUUUUUGUGUAACUGGGCGGCGAACGUUCUUCUCACCGAGAGCCAAGACGUAGCAAGAGCGAUAUACUUCACGCCAUGGUAUCGUUUCCCGUAUCAACUAAAAAAAUCUCUACAUAUUAUCACAAUGAGAUCUCAGAAACCAGCGCAGCUGACCGCCGGCUCCAUCAUACCGUUAUCCUUGCAAACAUUCGCAUCUAUGUUACACCAUUUCACGGGGUACGGCAAUGUGCAGAUUGUGUGGGCGCAUAAACAAAAUGUAUAAUAAAAACCAUGCUCGGAAGUUGACAAAACAUGUAACAGAACACCAUCCCAACUGGAGAAAUGAACUUCCCUCGAAGGGUGGUGCGAAACUGUGAAAAGCGCGAUCGCAAAGAUGCGAUAUAGUCUUUGCUGCAUCAUCCAUAGAGUUUACGUUUUAAUUGUAAGAGAGCCUCGCGAAUAUUAGCGGUCUCAUUCUUUAUCUUCUCUUAUUAGUGUCGUAAUGAUCCAAAACAAUUAUUAGAUUAAAUUAAACUUCUCACUUAAUUUUGCGUUAUCCGUUGUCGCGUAUUAUUCGCGCUUCGACAUUGUUUGGCGUGAUAUUCGCGUUUGAUAUUACUUCGCGUUUUCAUACGCAACUCGUUCUUUAGCAUCUUGUGAACAAACUUGAUUACAGUUUAAUAGACUGGGGCAACUGCCUCAAUCGUUCUUAUUAUUAUCCCGCGAAUUACUUCAAAUAUUGUUAAUAAACCGUACAUCAUUUUUAUUAUA